GGUCCAGUAGCAUAGUGGUUAAUGCAUUAGAAUACACUUGUUCUUGGGGACAGAGGUAUUUCUGGAUAUCCUUGUUCGAUUCAAGGCUGGGCCA